ACGAACUCUGGUAUUGAUUGGUGCUUGCAUCAUGAUUUACAUUUGAGUGAGUGGCGAACUGGUGAGUAACACGUGGGAAACCUGCCCAGAAGCGGGGGAUAACACCUGGAAACAGAUGCUAAUACCGCAUAACAACUUGGACCGCAUGGUCCGAGUUUGAAAGAUGGCUUCGGCUAUCACUUCUGGAUGGUCCCGCGGCGUAUUAGCUAGAUGGUGAGGUAACGGCUCACCAUGGCAAUGAUACGUAGCCGACCUGAGAGGGUAAUCGGCCACAUUGGGACUGAGACACGGCCCAAACUCCUACGGGAGGCAGCAGUAGGGAAUCUUCCACAAUGGACGAAAGUCUGAUGGAGCAACGCCGCGUGAGUGAAGAAGGGUUUCGGCUCGUAAAACUCUGUUGUUAAAGAAGAACAUAUCUGAGAGUAACUGUUCAGGUAUUGACGGUAUUUAACCAGAAAGCCACGGCUAACUACGUGCCAGCAGCCGCGGUAAUACGUAGGUGGCAAGCGUUGUCCGGAUUUAUUGGGCGUAAAGCGAGCGCAGGCGGUUUUUUAAGUCUGAUGUGAAAGCCUUCGGCUCAACCGAAGAAGUGCAUCGGAAACUGGGAAACUUGAGUGCAGAAGAGGACAGUGGAACUCCAUGUGUAGCGGUGAAAUGCGUAGAUAUAUGGAAGAACACCAGUGGCGAAGGCGGCUGUCUGGUCUGUAACUGACGCUGAGGCUCGAAAGUAUGGGUAGCAAACAGGAUUAGAUACCCUGGUAGUCCAUACCGUANACGAUGAAUGCUAAGUGUUGGAGGGUUUCCGCCCUUCAGUGCUGCAGCUAACGCAUUAAGCAUUCCGCCUGGGGAGUACGGCCGCAAGGCUGAAACUCAAAGGAAUUGACGGGGGCC
rnacentral:rRNA from 1 species